GAUGAACGCUGGCGGCGUGCUUAACACAUGCAAGUCGAACGGAAAGGCCGAAGCUUGCUUCGGUACUCGAGUGGCGAACGGGUGAGUAACACGUGGGUGAUCUGCCCUGUACUUCGGGAUAAGCUUGGGAAACUGGGUCUAAUACCGGAUAUGACAAUCUCUUGGAUGGGGUUGUGGAGAGCUUUUGCGGUAUGGGAUGAGCUCGCGGCGUAUCAGCUUGUUGGUGGGGUAAUGGCCUACCAAGGCGUCGACGGGUAGCCGGCCUGUGAGGGUGUACGGCCACAUUGGGACUGAGAGGCGGCCGAGACUCCGACGGGAGGGAGCAGUGGGGAAUAUUGAACAAGGGGCGCAAGCCUGAUGCAGCGAGGCCGCGUGGGGGAUGACGGCCUUCGGGUUGUAAACUCCUUUCGCAACCGACGAAGCUUUUUGUGACGGUAGGUUGAGAAGAAGCACCGGCUAACUACGUG
rnacentral:rRNA from 1 species